rnacentral:rRNA from 1 species
UGGUGGAGUGAUUUGUCUGCUUAAUUGCGAUAACGAACGAGAUCUCUGCCAAUAAAUAGAUGCUGCCUCCACAUCGUAGGCCGUGUGGGUGUCGUGUUUUUCGCGGCAUUUUCGCUAGGCUGAGGAGGUAGAAGUUUACUUAUUGGGAUUAUGCAUCCUCUAAAUGCAUUGAGACGAGAGCCAAUAGCA